GGAGCGUAGGCGGAUUUUUAAGUGAGAUGUGAAAUACUCGGGCUUAACCGUAGUAAGCUUUUGAAACUGGAGGACUUGAGUGCAGGAGAGGAGAGUGGAAUUCCUAGUGUAGCGGUGAAAUGCGUAGAUAUAUGGAAGAACACCAGUGGCGAAGGCGGCUCUCUGGUCUGCAACUGACGCUGAGGCUCGAAAGCAUGGGUAGCGAACAGGAUUAGAUACCCUGGUAGUCCAUGCCGUAAACGAUGAGUGCUAAGUGUUGGGAGGUUUCCGCCUCUCAGUGCUGCAGCUAACGCAUUAAGCACUCCGCCUGGGGAGUACGACCGCAAGGUUGAAACUCAAAGGAAUUGACGGGGGCCCGCACAAGCGGUGGAGCAUGUGGUUUAAUUCGACGCAACGCGAAGAACCUUACCAGGUCUUGACAUCUAGUGCAAUCUGUAGAGAUACGGAGUUCCCUUCGGGGACGCUAAGACAGGUGGUGCAUGGCUGUCGUCAGCUCGUGUCGUGAGAUGUUGGGUUAAGUCCCGCAACGAGCGCAACCCUUGUUAUUAGUUGCCAGCAUUAAGUUGGGCACUCUAAUGAGACUGCCGGUGACAAACCGGAGGAAGGUGGGGAUGACGUCAAGUCAUCAUGCCCCUUAUGACCUGGGCUACACACGUGCUACAAUGGGCAGUACAACGAGAAGCAAGCCUGCGAAGGCAAGCGAAUCUCUGAAAGCUGUUCUCAGUUCGGACUGCAGUCUGCAACUCGACUGCACGAAGCUGGAAUCGCUAGUAAUCGC
rnacentral:rRNA from 1 species